AUUCUGAUGGUAAAAAGGUGGAUUCUGCGGAGCUACAUGCUGAUGUUCAUCCUACUUCAUCCUAUGUUGAAGGAAAGAAAACUAAUGGAGAGGAACCUGUCGAGAUCAGUAAAGAUAGUGUUGAAGGAUGUACUGUCAUAAUUCUUGAUAGGAAACCCAUUGAUGUUGUUAAUAAAGAGGUUUCUGGGAAUGAACCAUCAGCAGUUGAGAUCUCGGUCAGUGGAGCUGAUAAAAGGAAGGUAGUGAAGCCCAUCAGAAGAAAAUCACUCGACUUAUCAGCAAAUAAGGAUGUUAUGAAGGGCCUUGGAACUGAACAAUCAUUAGAUCAAGCUAGUAGUGGAGGCCAAGGAACUUUGGUUGCUGUUGCUCAAGGAACAGAUGAGAAUG
rnacentral:misc_RNA from 1 species